ACAAUAAAUCCUAAAAGGAUAGCAUUAUUUAAUUUUAUUAGAUUUUAUCAACUACUAAAGCUGAUAAAUCAAAAAUGCACUAUGAAAUGUGAUUAUUAUUUACACAGAGACCAGAGGUUUUACUGGCAAAGGCUAAAGCCAUUUGAAGCUCAUACUUAUGGUUGCAUUGCAUCGAUGUUGUGUAUCUUUAAUUUCCAUGUUGCUUAGUGAGUAAGUGAGUUUUUUUUUUUUAAAUGAUUUUAUUAGAUUUUAUACAUUGAGAACCGGGUUCUUGGGUUCUUUAACAGUUUUGAAUAAUCAGUCACAUUUUCAAGUGCUACUCAAUCAAGCAGCUAAUUAUUCCAUUCUUAGAAAUUUGGGUUGUGUUUGCUACCCAUUGCUAAGGCCUUGCAAGAAUCACAAACUGAUAUUUCAUUCCAAAAGGUGCAUAUUUUUGGGGUAUAGUGCUAAUCAUAGAGGAUAUAGGUGUCUUGAUCCAAUUACCAAUAGUCUAUUUGAGGACAUUUGGUGUUUGAUGAACUUCAAUUUCCUGAUCGAAAAGAGAGUCCCAGCGUAUUUCAUCCUGCUACAACAGAUUCUGAACAAGUGAGAGAAAUUCCCUGCAACUCCAACUUUAUUAAUUAAGGCUCUACAGCUUCUCCACCUCACAAUGAUCAACCUAUGGUUACUCGAAGUAAAUCUGUUCAAGGAAUGGCAGAAAGCAAUGCAGGAUGAAUUCUCAACCGUGCAUGCUAAUGAUACUUGGAGUCUAUGUCCACACCCAGCCAACAAGAAUGUAAUCCACAGCAAAUGAGUUUAUUAAGUGAAGCAAUGUCUUGAUGGUUCUAUUGAGAGGUCCAAGGCCUAAUUGGUGGCUAAGGGAUUCCAACAGCAAGAUAGUUUGGAUUACCCAAAAAAAGAACGUUAGUCUUGUUAUCAAAAAACAGCAACCGUCAGAGUGGUUCUUGCACUUGCAAUUCAUUUUAAUUGGCCACUUAGACAAUUAAAUGUCUAAAAUGAUUUCCUCCAUGGGACUUUGGAUGAAGAGGUUUUUAUGGAGCAACUUUUGUGAUUUUUUUAGUCAACAUUUCCAAAUUAUGUGUGCAAAUUGAAGAAAGCGAUCUAUGGUCUCAAGCAAGCUCCACAUGACUAGUUUAAUCGACUCACAUAAUCUUUACUCAGUCUUGGUUUUACUGAAUCUUAUGUUGAUUAUUCUUUGUUCAUUUAUGUAAAUCAAGUAUCAAGAUUUUCGUUUUAAUUCAUGUAGAUGAUAUCAUAGUGACGGGAACUAGUCUACAAUUCAUUCAUUAUCUGAUACGUUGCAUGAUUUGUGAUUUUACUAUGAAGGAUUUAGUUUCUUUGCAUUCUUUUUUGGGAAUCAAGGUUGAUUGUGAUGCAUCCAAUUUUUAUCUUUCUCAAACCAAAUAUAUAGUUGAUUUUCUCCUUUGUUGCAAGAUGGAUGGAGCUACACCGAUGACCUUUAGUUCUAAAUUGUCACAAAGAUCAGGUGAUCCCCUCUCGGAUCCAACUGAGUAUAGAAGCAUUGUUGGUGCACUUCAAUACUGUACCUUAAC